CCUACGGGUGACAGCAGUGGGGAAUAUUGGGCAAUGGGCGCAAGCCUGACCCAGCAACGCCGCGUGAAGGAAGAAGGCUUUCGGGUUGUAAACUUCUUUUAUGAGGGAAGAGCAGAAGACGGUACUUCUUGAAUAAGCCACGGCUAACUACGUGCCAGCAGCCGCUGUAAUACGUAGGUGGCAAGCGUUGUCCGGAUUUACUGGGUGUAAGGGGCGUGCAGCCGGGAAGACAAGUCAGAUGUGAAAUCCCGCGGCUCAAACGCGGAACUGCAUUUGAAACUGUGUUUCUUGAGUACCGGAGAGGUAAGUGGAAUUCCUUGUGUAGCGGUGAAAUGCGUAGAUAUAAGGAAGAACACCAGUGGCGAAGGCGGAUGACUGGACGGCAACUGACGGUGAGGCGCGAAAGCGUGGGGAGCAAACAGGAUUAGAUACCCUAGUAGUC
rnacentral:rRNA from 1 species